GAUUCAGAGCUUCCUCCCCCCCCCCUCUCCACCUUCCUUCUACAACAAAAACAAUCACAUCCAACUUUCUUUAACUAAUCAACCCUAUCUAUCACACCCUUCGAAAGAAUAUCAAAAAACGAAAAAAAGAAAAGCUUGCCCCUUCGUUACCUUUUGCAUCAUGGUUAAGCAAGCCGUACUCCAAACCAUUCUAGCAAUCCGAACAUUGUGAGAGUCUAUGGCCCUCCUUUGUUUAGCACCCCCCUACUAUUGUUACACCAAUAAAGGAUAAAAGGAGCCAUUGAGGCUACAUACCAUCCGCGCACAAAGAUAGUCUGGUUUUCCAAAAAAUCUAUUUAAGUAGAGAAAAAAGAAAGUCCCUUUCUUUUCUUUCCUCUCUCGGGGGAUAAAGCUCCGAGAGUUACACCUUUAUUUAUACUCAACCCCUAUCCUGUCGGCCCUAAAGCAGCCAACAACAAUAACCGCGUUCCAGUCGUACAAUUGUUACAAACUUUAUAAUCCCCCUUUGUAGCUGGGUGAUCAUUAUAUUGGAAAUACUGGCGAGUAGCACCCAAGCCCGCAGCAUAUUCUGUUUGAAUUAUUAUUCCCAAGCCGCCCUAUCCUCUUUCGCUAUAAAAUAAACCGCCCUAACAAGUGGCCGGCUCCCCCCAACCUUCGAUAAGGAACUCGGCAAACAUUACACCUCGUCCUGUUUAUUAAAAACACCGCCUCCUGAUUCUUCCAUAGGAGGUCCAACCUGCCCAGUGAAUUCUUCUACGGCCGCGGUACCCUGACCGUGCUAAGGUAGCGUAAUCACUUGCCCUUUAAUUGGGGGCUGGUAUGAAAGGUCAAACGAGGGUGAUACUGUCUCACCCAAGCCCAUUAAAAAUUGUCCUCCAUGUGAAGAGACUUGACUACUAUAGAAAGACGAGAAGACCCUGUCAAGCUUUACACCUUAUAAUAGACCCCUAACCCCGCCAUCAUAAAAAGUGUUUUGUUGGGGCAACACGGGAACACAACUCUUCCUCACUAACCACUCUUCAAUAAAUCAAACAAUCCGGCACCGCCGAAUAAAAACCAAGCUACUGCAGGGAUAACAGGCUAAUCUGCUUCGAGAGCCCACAUUGACAAGCAGGCUUGGCACCUCGAUGUUGGCUUAGGGACCCUCGCUGGGGCAGCCCCCGGCGAAAGGAGGUUUGUUCAACCUAUAACCCCCUACAUGAGCUGAGUUUAGACCGACGUAAGUCAGGUCAGUUUCUAUCUUCUAUACCCACACCGCCGGCAUUCGUACGAAAGGAUUUUGCCGGCCGAUUGAAAUCGUCAUACCCCGCACUCCCUCCCGGAAACUAUAACCACACGGAAAAAUUAGAGUCAGGUCAGUUUCUAUCUUCUAUACCCACACCGCCGGCAUUCGUACGAAAGGAUUUUGCCGGCCGAUUGAAAUCGUCAUACCCCGUCACUCCCUCCCGGAAACUAUAACCACCUCCUCCCCCCCCCCAGGCGAUCAA
rnacentral:rRNA from 1 species